rnacentral:rRNA from 1 species
AUUGAACGCUGGCAGCAUGCCUUACACAUGCAAGUCGAACGGCAGCACGGGUGCUUGCACCUGGUGGCGAGUGGCGAACGGGUGAGUAAUACAUCGGAACAUGUCCUGUAGUGGGGGAUAGCCCGGCGAAAGCCGGAUUAAUACCGCAUACGAUCCACGGAUGAAAGCGGGGGACCUUCGGGCCUCGCGCUAUAGGGUUGGCCGAUGGCUGAUUAGCUAGUUGGUGGGGUAAAGGCCUACCAAGGCGACGAUCAGUAGCUGGUCUGAGAGGACGACCAGCCACACUGGGACUGAGACACGGCCCAGACUCCUACGGGAGGCAGCAGUGGGGAAUUUUGGACAAUGGGCGAAAGCCUGAUCCAGCAAUGCCGCGUGUGUGAAGAAGGCCUUCGGGUUGUAAAGCACUUUUGUCCGGAAAGAAAUCCUUGACUCUAAUACAGUCGGGGGAUGACGGUACCGGAAGAAUAAGCACCGGCUAACUACGUG